AGGGGUGCACAAAGAAAAGUGGGUAUGAAGAAGGGGUGUGAUUUGAAAAGAAAGUAAGAUUGGGUGUGCUAGAAAAAGAAAAAUGAGAAAAUUAUGAAAAGUAGAAAAAAAGAAAGAAAAAGAAACUUAUGAAAAAAAUAAGAAAAAGAAAAGAAUAAAAGAUCGUACCAAGUCGGAACAGGUAGAAAAAGAAUUAAAAGGGAGAAACAAGGGCGGAUUGAAAGAAAAGUUGGAAAAUGAGUGGACCCUAAAGAAAUUAUAGUGUCAAGGAGGCUUAGUCACAAUAAAUUUUCCCGAUUAUACCGUACCAACCCCAAGCCUAUGUUACAAGCCAAAUAAAGUCCUAUAGUGAUCUUAACCCGCAUAUUCGAAAACUAAAGUAAAGAAAAUAAG
rnacentral:lncRNA from 1 species